rnacentral:rRNA from 1 species
UACGAAGGGGGCUAGCGUUGCUCGGAUUGACUGGGCGUAAAGGGCUCGUAGGCGGUUUGUCGCGUCGGGAGUGAAAUCCACUGGCUUAACUGGUGGCUUGCUUUCGAUACGGGCAGACUGGAGGUAUGCAGGGGAGAACGGAAUUCCUGGUGUAGCGGUGAAAUGCGCAGAUAUCAGGAGGAACACCGGUGGCGAAGGCGGUUCUCUGGGCAUGUCCUGACGCUGAGGAGCGAAAGUGUGGGGAGCGAACAGG